ACCUGAUCCCAUCCCGAACUCAGAAGUGAAACGAUGCAUCGCCGAUGGUAGUGUGGGGCUUCCCCAUGUGAGAGUAGGUCAUCGUCAAGC
rnacentral:rRNA from 2 species